rnacentral:rRNA from 1 species
AUAUCAAUAAGCGGAGGAAAAGAAACCAACAGGGAUUGCCCUAGUAACGGCGAGUGAAGCGGCAACAGCUCAAAUUUGAAAUCUGGCUUCGGCCCGAGUUGUAAUUUGUAGAGGAUGCUUUGGGCGCGGCUCUAACUGAGUUCCCUGGAACGGGACGCCACAGAGGGUGAGAGCCCCGUAUAGUUAGAUGCCUAGCCUAUGUAAAGCUCCUUCGACGAGUCGAGUAGUUUGGGAAUGCUGCUCUAAAUGGGAGGUAAAUUUCUUCUAAAGCUAAAUAUUGGCCAGAGACCGAUAGCGCACAAGUAGAGUGAUCGAAAGAUGAAAAGCACUUUGAAAAGAGGGUUAAAUAGCACGUGAAAUUGUUGAAAGGGAAGCGCUUGUGACCAGACUUGCGCCCGGCUGAUCAUCCGGUGUUCUCACCGGUGCACUCUGCCGGGCUCAGGCCAGCAUCGGUUCUCGCGGGGGGAUAAAGGUCCCGGGAACGUAGCUCCUCCGGGAGUGUUAUAGCCCAGGGCGUCAUGCCCUCGCGGGGACCGAGGUUCGCGCAUCUGCAAGGAUGCUGGCGUAAUGGUCAUCAGCGA